CAAGGACGGAUACCUGAGUGAGGUCACAACUUAGGGAUCUAAUGUCACCCUGACACGAGAGCAAAGUGGUCACCUCCUUAGUGAUGCAGACACAAGGACAGCCCCCUCACCAACAGGGGACAUGCUGAGAGCUCCUGACACAGUCCCUCAGUCAACAGAAUGUAGGUGUGAGGAGGUGGUGAUGGGGAUGAAAGUGAGGCCCAGAGAGAAGAUUUGGGGGGCCCAGAGCAGCUGAGGGCCACAGUUCAAAAGGCAGCUGCAAUAUCUCUCCACUAGAGCCAGGUCUUAUCCAAAGAAAGUUUCCUACAAGGCAAUUGCCUCAGUUCUGUGCUUUUCCUUUCAAGAGAGAACUGAGUUCAUUGAACUUAAGGGCAAAUCUAUAUCCUUGUCCUUUCUUUGCAGAGAUAAUAAAGUUAAUGGGAUUAUUUCCUGUGUACAAGAAUAGGGCUGCUAAGAAAACAUUGUCAAGUAAAUGCUGUUUGCAAAGGCUAAACUGAA
rnacentral:lncRNA from 1 species